rnacentral:lncRNA from 1 species
UCUCCUCCAUAGCUGGGGUUUCUUCAACUUUCAAGCUUCAUAGUAAGUGAUUCCAAGCCCCGUUUUUAAUGAUCUUUACGUUUUUGGAGUCCCGGUAACUUGAUUAAGCUUAUUCUAGCAAUAAUUCAGCCUAGGAUUCAUAUUUGGAAAAAUACCCAUGGCUGAAAUUUGUGUAUUUUGGUGUUUUAUGAUAGAAUAUGAGGUUUUAAAUUAUGUUAAACAACUUAUGCUACUCGGUUUUAAGUGAAAACGAGUAAAAGGGCUUAAAUUGGAAAAAAAUACCAAUAGUCAUAAGUAUAUGUUAGAGUGUUAUUUUGAUAUUGCCAUAGAAGGGAAAAAUGAUCAGCAUGUCAUAAAACAUAAGAAAAUAGGAUGAAGUUUAAUUUACGAGCCUUGGGGCAAAAGUGCAAAUAUGUGAAAGUUUAGGGGUAAAAAUAUAAUUUUGCAAAAGUUUGGGUCAAGGAUUGUUUUAAUAAAUGUGAAUAUUAAAUAAGUUAAAUUUGCUAUUAUAGAUCAAGAAGAACGAAAUUCGGGAGUAGAUCGGGGAAAAGAAAAAGUAAAGGACUAAAUUGUAAAGUUUAGUCACAUUUUGUAUCAAGGUAAGUUACAGUAAAUAAAUGCAAUAUUCUUUUAUUUUACAUUAUUAUUGUCAAUUUCCAGCAUUUAUAUACUUAUGUUAUGAAAAUAUGUAAAGUCGAAUUUAAGGUGGAGUGACAGAGGAAAAGUGUUAGAAAGCCCCGGUUGAACCCUAGCAAUGUUAGGAUAUUAGAGUUAACAGGACAGAACAGAAAUGAGCCAUGUAAGUCCAUAUUAGAAAUAUGGCUUUGGAGACAGGAUUGAGCCAUGUAAGUCCAUUUUAUAUAUGGCAUUGGAGACAGGAAUAAUUCAUGUAAGUCCAUGUCAAAGACAUGGCAUUGGCAGGAUAUUGAUAGACAGGAACGACCCUAGUAUCCUUAGUAUUCCGAGUGGUUCAACGAGUCAGGAUACGAGUUAAAUUACAGUGAAUUAACAGCAAAGGAAAAGUAGAUUAUACUUAUGAAAAAGGAGAGGUCAGGUAAGAAAGAAGGUAAGGGAAUAAAGAAGAAGAUACAAAUUGAGAAGUAAAGAAAUUUAUGAUGUUAGAUGAUAUUAUGCAUAAUUAUCCAUUAUGUUGAAUGUUGUGAUUUAUUUGCUUGUAAGCUUACUAAGCCUAGUGCUUAAUCUCUUUAUUUUCUUCUUCUUAUAGUACUUAUCUAGUCACUCGGGGAUCGAAGGAAACGUCGGAGGCCGAUCACACUAUCAAAGAAAUAACUCGGUAUAACUAGACGUUUUGUUUUGGGUAUGGCAUGUAUAGAAACUUGCUACUUUUGGUAUAAUAUGAACAAUGAAUGAUGUGUAAAUACUUGCUAGUGAUUAGCUAAUAAAAUAGCCGAUGAUAUACAUAUUUAUUAAUAUGUAUGAUUGAUUGAUGAUUAUCACAUCAAAAUUAUGAAAAAUGUGAAAGUAACCUAAAAACAGAUUCAAGUAACAGAAAUGAC